rnacentral:rRNA from 1 species
UACGUAGGGUGGCAAGCGUUGUCCGGAAUUAUUGGGCGUAAAGCGCUCGUAGGCGGUUUGUCGCGUCUGCUGUGAAAACCUGAGGCUCAACCUCGGGCUUGCAGUGGGUACGGGCAGACUAGAGUGCGGUAGGGGUGACUGGAAUUCCUGGUGUAGCGGUGGAAUGCGCAGAUAUCAGGAGGAACACCGAUGGCGAAGGCAGGUCACUGGGCCGCAACUGACGCUGGAGGAAGCGGAAAGCAUGGGGAGCGAACAGG